AGAAGUGCCGGAACCCGCAUUGCCGGAAGUGUCGAAGUCUGUCGAGGCAGGGGCACCGGCCGUGGCGGCGGAACCGAAGGUUCCGACGAAAGAGGAGGCAGCGGAAAGGGAGGCGGUGGAACCGGUGGCUACGGCAGAACUGGAGGCAGCGGGGGCACUGUUGGCGCCGGUGGUACCAGAAGUUCUGCCGGAAUAGGAGGCAGCGGAAAGGGAGGUGGCAAAACAAGUAGCUACGGCAGAACCAGAGGCAGCGAGGGCACCGUUAGCGAUAGCGGAACCAAACAUUCAGGCGGUAGAGGAGGCGGAGGAAAGGGAGGCGACCGAGGCGGCUGCAGCGGUGGAGGAAAAGGAAGCGGCAGGGGCAGCGGCGGAGGAAAAAGAGGUGGCGGCGGUGGCGGCGAAGGAAAAGAAGGCGGGGGCGACAGAGGAAAAGGAGGAGGGGAGGGCUCCGUCGGUGGAACCAGAGGCGGAGAGUGGUGCUUUGGUGGAACCGGAGGUG
rnacentral:lncRNA from 1 species